GAUGAACGCUGGCGGCGUGCCUAAUACAUGCAAGUCGAGCGAACGGACGAGAAGCUUGCUUUUCUGAUGUUAGCGGCGGACGGGUGAGUAACACGUGGAUAACCUACCUACAAGACUGGGAUAACUUCGGGAAACCGGAGCUAAUCCCGGAUAAUAUUUUGAACCGCAUGGUUCAAAAGUGAAAGACGGUCUUGCUGUCACUUAUAGAUGGAUCCGCGCUGCAUUAGCUAGUUGGUAAGGUAACGGCUUACCAAGGCAACGAUGCAUAGCCGACCUGAGAGGGGGAUCGGCCACACUGGAACGGAGACACGGUCCAGACUCCUACGGGAGGCAGCAGUAGGGAACCGUCCGCAAUGGGCGAAAGCCUGACGGAGCAACGCCGCGUGAGUGAUGAAGGUCUUCGGAUCGUAAAACUCUGUUAUUAGGGAAGAACAUAUGUGUAAGUAACUGUGCACAUCUUGACGGUACCUAAUCAGAAAGCCACGGCUAACUACGUG
rnacentral:rRNA from 1 species